ACGUAGGGUGCAAGCGUUGUCCGGAUUUAUUGGGCGUAAAGAGCUCGUAGGCGGUUAGUCACGUCGGAUGUGAAAACCCGGAGCUUAACUCCGGGCCUGCAUUCGAUACGGGCUGACUAGAGUGUUGUAGGGGAGACUGGAACUCCUGGUGUAGCGGUGAAAUGCGCAGAUAUCAGGAAGAACACCGGUGGCGAAGGCGGGUCUCUGGGCAACUACUGACGCUGAGGAGCGAAAGCGUGGGGAGCAAACAGGAUUAGAUACCCUGGUAGUCCACGCCGUAAACGGUGGGCGCUAGGUGUGGGGAACAUUCCACGUUCUCCGUGCCGCAGCUAACGCAUUAAGCGCCCCGCCUGGGGAGUACGGCCGCAAGGCUA
rnacentral:rRNA from 1 species